AGCCCUGAUGAUGGCAAAGGGUAUUUCGGUUUCGAACUGGGUGUGUGAAACCUUGCCUCACCCACUUCAGAGGGAUGCCAUAUCAUGUGGUGUGUUCGCUUUGAAGUUUGCAGAACACAUUCUGCAAAAUACCACAAUAAACUUCUCCAGUGAUCUACAAUAUUUAACACGAUUCAGAAUGGAGAUUUCUUUAACUCUGCUCCGCCAAUCUGAUGACCUAAGUGACCUGUGCCAUUUUUGUGGAGAGGCAGAAACUUUUGAUGACUCUGAAGGAGAGGCAGAAACAUUGACUGCAUGUGCAGA